CUCCGCGGAGGCGACAGCGGCGGCAGGGGGCUCACACGGGGGGAGGGGGAGCGAUCGGAUCCGCGGGCGGGCGCGAGUCCGGGGCUCCGAGCCGGGAUUCCAGGCCGGUCAGCUGGAGCGGGCCGCACCACUCGCCCUGCGGAGACGGGGGUGGGGGGGCCGUGGCGCGGAGAGGGAGGGCGGGGAGCUCGGAGGAGGGGCGUGCGGGCGGACGAGGGCCGCGGCGGAGGAGGGCGACCCGGAGGCUUUGGCAGCUCCCGCCGCCGCUCCCCGGCCAGAGCGAGGUCCCGUGCAGCGGCUCGGGGACAGACCUGAGGCCCCCGCCAGCCCCGGAGUCGCCGCGGCCGCUGUGACGCCCGAGGCCUCGCUCCCUCCGCAACACGCUCCCCUCCCCCGGAGGCUGCGCUGACCGGACAAUGGCCGCUCCGCCCCCUCCCCUCCGCGUGCUCCCCUCCCGAGGAGCCGCGAUGGUCUCGCCCGGGGAAGCCGCCGCCAAAGCCCAGCAGCUGAUCAGCUGGGAUCCGGGCGUGCCACUUUGUUCCGCGGCUCAGAGUCCGGGGCUGUGGGCAACGCCGAGAGCGUCGAGCAACGGGCUUCUGAGGCCUUCGUGUUCUAGGAACUUUCAAAAUCUGAGGCAAACUUACUUCCCCCUGUCAGAGGAAGGAGAGCAUGUUUCUGAGUACUCUGGGCGCUUCCCCCCCAGCAAAGCGAAUGGUAUGCUCCAAACAGGAGGGGGAGGAGCAGAUUAGUUGUUUAGGGUAAGUUGGGCCAGUCCCAGAGCGGCGGCGCAUGCGCCCGGAGACCCCACAGCCGGGUGCUGGGAGGGGCCGCGAGAGAGCCUUGCCAAACCCGGAAGUGGGUGUCGGGCUUCCCGGGGCUGUCGGGGUCUUCCCCUGUUGGCUGCGCCCCAAAGGCGGUCUCCUUACCCUUGGACGAUGCUGGGAGCAAGAACCAUAUUCAGCUCCGUAUCUUUCUAAAGAUGCUGUUGGUAGAGAAGAAAAUAUUUGUAAAAACCAAGCUACUUCACUGGAGCACUCCCGAAACGCUUUCAACUGGAAGAUGCCUGCCCAUCUUGGGGAAAGGAGACCAGUGGAAGUCUCUUUUUUGCGAAAGGACUUCACCUCUGAGUCCAUGCAGCUGACGUGGACUUUACUUAGCCUACAGGUUUGUUUUCUUACAUUCUCAGCCUGCUGUACAAAAAAUACUGUAAUUGGGUAGCUUAUGAACAUCAGAAAUUUAUUCCUCACAGUUGUGAGAAAUCCAAGACCAAGCCACAUGCAGAUUUGGUUUGAUAAGGGCUUACAAUGUGCUUCAAAGAUGGUGCCCUCAGGCUGAGGAUACAGCUCAGUGGCACAGCACGAGGUCACAAGUUCAAUCCCCAGUAGCAAAAAAAAAAAAAAAAAAAAAAAAAAAAUGCAGUUGAGUGACUAAGCAUAGGCACAGAGCCCUUUCCGUCUGGUCACAGGAUUUGGAGUUGCCUCAGGGAGACAUGGCUCAUUCUCUGAGCCAACUUGCUAUCUUCAUCUCCUGGGAUCAAGUGUCCUCAAGAUCACAUAAGCCCAGAGCUGCUGUGGGACCUUCUGUCUGGAGUAAGGCUGCCUGGCGAUCAAUCCAACAAAAAGGAAGGAAGAGAAAGAGAUUGAAUUAACAAGAUGUCAUUUCAGACCUUAAAUCCAGCUAAGCCUGAUGCCAGAACUGCCCUUUGGACUUUUCAGUUAUCUGGACCAAUAAAUACCUCUCCCUAUACACAUACUCUUACGUUAGAUUUCAGCACAUUUCCAUGAGAAAAGUCCUGACUAUCCCUAAUAUCUAUUUUAUAUUGUGGGUUUGUUGUGAAAAUUAAAGUAUAUAAUUCAAGAGGAAACCUUAUCUUAGUACACAAUUUAUUGAGUAUAAACUCGAUAAAUGUGUAUUAUUAUUUGUUUCUUCUUGAUAAUUAUUGGCCACUCUAGUGUAUGGGUAUACCCUUUGAAGAAUUCUCUCUUGAUUCAGUUUUCCCUCAUUUAUUCAUUUAUAUACGUUUAUUCAUUCAACAGACAUUUGAGCACCUAUUGUAUUAGGAACUAUCAGAGGUAUUAAGGUACAGUUCAAAUGAGGCAUAAAUUCCCUGCUUUAGUGCUUAUACUGUAGUAAUAAGGCAAGCAAUUUUUUCAAAUAUUUAGAAGAACAAACCCCACUUUUCAUGUUUGUAAAUAAUUACAGUGAACAUCUUUCAUCUUUGCCUGUGUGUCCUAUUAGUAUCUUGGAUAUGGUUUUUUGUUUGUUUUUUGUGGUUCUGGGGAUUGAACUCAUCGAGCUUGCCAGGCAGGCACUUAGGCCACUGAGCUAAAUCCCCAGCUUGGAUAUGUUUUUAAAUGGGGUCUCAUCAUAAUGACCAGACUGGCCCCACGCUUCUAGGUUUAAGCCAUCUUUCUGCUUCAGCCUGUCAAGAAAUGAGAGCUACAGGCUUGCACCACCCCCACUUGGCUUUUGGAUAAAUUUUUGCUUAUGUUUUGAGACAGUCUCACUAUGGAAUUUAGGUUGUACUCAAACUCACUAUGUAGCGCAGGCUGAUCUCCAACUCACAGCAAUCCUCUUGCCUCAGCCUCACAAAUUCUGGCAUUACAGAUGUGCACCAGCAUGCCCAGUUUUUUUGGAUAAAAUUUUUGGAAAAAAAAAAUCAUGAUACUCUUUUAAUAGUCAUUACACGUGGUCAAACUUUGUUCCAGAAAGGUUAUACCUACUUGCACUCCCUACAGCAAUGAACAAAAAACGUAGAUUUCCCCAUACCUCAGUAGCCUUGGGAUAGCAUUACUCUUUGCAAUUAUUGCCAAUGUAAAGAUAAAAAAACCCUCCUAAUGGUUAUUUCAAUUUGCAUUUUUAGAAUUAUUGAGCUCCAGGCACACAUAUAUGUUUACUUGUAUUUAUAAUUAUAUAUAAGAUGUAUUUUACAUAUAAGAUGUAUAUGUAUUUCUAAAAAUAUGUGUGCAUAAAUAUAUAUAAAGUAUUUAAAUCUUUUUUUUUGUAUUGCCCUAUUUAUGUCCUGUUUUUCUUUCUUUUCUUUUCUUUUUUUUUUUUUUUUUUUUUGUCUUUUUCCUUUUUAUCAGUACCAGGGAUUGAACUCAGGACUGUCUGCUUGCAAGGCAGGUACUUAUGCCGCUGAGCUAAAUCCCCAGCCCCUUAUGUCCUGCUUUUCCACGUGUGUUUUUUAUUAUUAUUUAAAGGUAUUAAUGUUCACAUUAAGAAUACAGACACUUUGUCAAAUGCAUUGUGAAUUAUCCCUCUUAUCAUUUGCCUCUUACUUGUUUCUAGGCUUUUCAUUUUCAAGAGUCUGAAAAUGUGAAUUAACUUUGUCUAAUGUUUGAAUUGCUGACACCGACACUUUUUCUAAAGGCCUCUAGUUGUUUGUGCAUUAAAAAGAAAGAAAAGGAGAGAAUUAAAAGGAAA
ensembl:lincRNA